rnacentral:rRNA from 1 species
UACGUAGGGGGCUAGCGUUGUCCGGAUUUAUUGGGCGUAAAGAGCGUGUAGGCGGCCAGGUAGGUCUGGUGUGAAAACUCGAGGCUUAACCUCGAGAUGUCAUCGGAAACCAUUUGGCUAGAGUCCGGAAGAGGAGAGUGGAAUUCCUGGUGUAGCGGUGAAAUGCGCAGAUAUCAGGAAGAACACCAAUGGCGAAAAGCAGCUCUCUGGGACGGUACUGACGCUGAGACGCGAAAGCGUGGGGAGCGAACAGG